UCGAGCGAGCGGAACCACAGAUUUACUUCGGUAAUGACGUUGGGAGAGCGAGCGGCGGAUGGGUGAGUAACACGUGGGGAACCUGCCCCUAAGUCUGGGAUACCAUUUGGAAACAGGUGCUAAUACCGGAUAAUAAAGCAGAUCGCAUGAUCAGCUUUUGAAAGGCGGCGUAAGCUGUCGCUAAGGGGUGGCCCCGCGGUGCAUUAGCUAGUUGGUAAGGUAACGGCUUACCAAGGCGACGAUGCAUAGCCGAGUUGAGAGACUGAUCGGCCACAUUGGGACUGAGACACGGCCCAAACUCCUACGGGAGGCAGCAGUAGGGAAUCUUCCACAAUGGACGCAAGUCUGAUGGAGCAACGCCGCGUGAGUGAAGAAGGUUUUCGGAUCGUAAAGCUCUGUUGUUGGUGAAGAAGGAUAGAGGUAGUAACUGGCCUUUAUUUGACGGUAAUCAACCAGAAAGUCACGGCUAACUACGUGCCAGCAGCCGCGGUAAUACGUAGGUGGCAAGCGUUGUCCGGAUUUAUUGGGCGUAAAGCGAGCGCAGGCGGAAAAAUAAGUCUAAUGUGAAAGCCCUCGGCUUAACCGAGGAACUGCAUCGGAAACUGUUUUUCUUGAGUGCAGAAGAGGAGAGUGGAACUCCAUGUGUAGCGGUGGAAUGCGUAGAUAUAUGGAAGAACACCAGUGGCGAAGGCGGCUCUCUGGUCUGCAACUGACGCUGAGGCUCGAAAGCAUGGGUAGCGAACAGGAUUAGAUACCCUGGUA
rnacentral:rRNA from 1 species